ACUUUGAUUCUGGCUCGGAACGAACGCUGGCGGCAGGCCUAACACAUGCAAGUCGAGCGCUCACUUCGGUGGGAGCGGCGGACGGGUUAGUAACGCGUGGGAACGUGCCCAGAUCUAAGGAAUAGCCACUGGAAACGGUGAGUAAUACCUUAUACGCCCUUCGGGGAAAGAUUUAUCGGAUUUGGAUCGGCCCGCGUUAGAUUAGAUAGUUGGUGGGGUAAUGGCCUACCAAGUCUACGAUCUAUAGCUGGUUUUAGAGGAUGAUCGGCAACACUGGGACUGAGACACGGCCCAGACUCCUACGGGAGGCAGCAGUGGGGAAUCUUGGACAAUGGGGGCAACCCUGAUCCAGCCAUGCCGCGUGAGUGAUGAAGGCCUUAGGGUCGUAAAGCUCUUUCGCCAGGGAUGAUAAUGACAGUACCUGGUAAAGAAACCCCGGCUAACUCCGUGCCAGCAGCCGCGGUA
rnacentral:rRNA from 1 species